GUGGCCGGCAGGUUCCCCACCGUAGACCCCGGGCAAGCCUGGCGAGCUGGCGUGCAGUGAGCUCCGUGCGGGAUGAGAAGCAGUUGUGCACAGCCCUUGAGUGGGCUGAAUGGAGGACAAGUCCGGAGCUGGGGGGCCCUCAGGCCAAUCAGGAGCGCCUCUCCAGAUACAAAGCAUCCCAAUCAGGCAGCGGAGCCCCGGUCCCACAUUCUUUGCCGUCACAAAUUGUCACCAUGGGGACCAUCACAAAAAAAGACAGCUCCCAAAUGCAAUCAUUUCCCGGUAAAUUUCUACCCUUCAGCCCCACUUUCUCCAGUCUCCACACCCCCUCCUCCCCUUGACCUCAGUACCCUGGUUUCUUGAGGGAGGGUCGUGUGUGUGUGUGUGUGUGUGUGUGUGUGUGUGUGUGUGUGUGUGUAAAAAGCAUUCAGGAUCAAGGAGGGCUGGGCGCAGUGAGACAGGCACCCAGCCUUCCCUAGACACUUCAGGCCUCCAGCUGCCAUGCUCCAGUGCAGACAGACAAUCGGAUGGGCGGCCUCUGCUAUCUUAGCCUUCAGGGCUUUGGAAGGGGAAGUUCUGCAGCGUGCCCCAGCCCACCUUGACAGGUAGCCCCUGAUUCCAUCACCUCUGAGGGCUCCUUCUAGGAAGGAUGACAAAGACCCUGAAGCUCUCAGGAGUCCCUGUCCUGGUCUCACUUUUUUGAAAUGGAGGAGGAAAGCAGCUGGCAUUUGUUGGUGAUGGCAAACGGAAGGGAAGAGAUUCUGCCCAUGCAUGGCUGAGCAGGUGUCUUCAGAGACCAGACGAAGCUACUGGGCUUACAGAGGUCAUGAGCUGCCCGACGUGCAUGCUGGGAACUAGCUCUGGUCCUCUGCAAGGGCAGGCAGUGUUCCUAACCAGAGCAAUCUCUCUCCUGCCUGCCCCUUUCCUUUUUCUUUUCCUGACCUGAGCAUCGGUGCAUUCUGACCUUCUGAAGCCAGCUCCUACAGUUCCUUUAACAUACCACUCUUCUACAUGCUAAACCUCCCGGCAGUUUGCACGUUAGCCGAUACUCAGGACUAAAUCAUCGGAAGGGCAUUACACGUACUGAUAGGUGAUCAGCACCAGAUGUUUUGGGCUCUAGAAAGCAAAGGUUAUUUAGCCACUAGCUUCUUAGCAUCAUCUUCUUUUCUUUGGACAAAGUCUCAUAUAGUCCACACGGUCUCAGACUCACUCUGUAGCCAGCCAGGGUACCCUGAUACCUCUGCCUCUACCUCCCAACUGCCAGGUCCAGUGCUUAGAUGAAAGCCAGCAUUCACCUGGAACCUGUGAAGCUGGGUCCCCUCUGCCAGAGGAGCUAUUUCCGUACCUUUGGUAGAAGGGACAAAUGGCUAUCUGUGGUACCAAUUAGAAUACCAAAGUGCAUGCUGGCCUCUGGGCUUCCUCAGCAUCACGAGCACCUAUUAUAAAUGUCAGAGUCCAUGCUGGCUGGCCUUCUGGCUCUCCUCACUCUCCCCAUUACCCUAAAUUUCUCCAGCUCAUGGGCUUCCACCCUGCCCUCACUUCUCAUUUCUCCUAAUAACUGGUAUUUUUGCUAUGCUCUCUUGGCUCCCUCUCUCUUGGUUGACUCUUUCUCUUCCUCUCUUUCUCCCUCUCUCUUCUUUCAUAGCCAAGCCCAGUCUGCUAGCCAUGUUCAGUCUAUUGCUUUAUCACUCUGCUCUGGAUUCUUCAGAUACCUCCAGUAGUUCCUUCCUCCGUUAUCUACAAUAAAAACCUUCGGGCUA